rnacentral:misc_RNA from 1 species
GAUGAAGAACGCAGCGAAAUGCGAUAAGUAAUGUGAAUUGCAGAAUUCAGUGAAUCAUCGAAUCUUUGAACGCACAUUGCGCCCCUUGGUAUUCCGAGGGGCAUGCCUGUUCGAGCGUCAUUAUAACCCCUCAAGCUCAGCUUGGUGUUGGGGCCUGCCGCACGGGCAGCCCUUAAAAUCAGUGGCGGUGCCAUCUGGCUCUAAGCGUAGUAAUUCUUCUCGCUAUAGAGUCCCGGUGGAUGGUUGCCAUUAACCCCCAAUUUUCUAUGGUUGACCUCGGAUCAGGUAGGGAUACCCGCUGAACUUAAGCAUAUCAAUAAGCGGAGGA